rnacentral:rRNA from 1 species
GAUGAACGCUGGCGGCGUGCCUAAUACAUGCAAGUCGAGCGAACAGAUGAGGAGCUUGCUCCUCAGACGUUAGCGGCGGACGGGUGAGUAACACGUGGAUAACCUACCUAUAAGACUGGGAUAACUUCGGGAAACCGGAGCUAAUACCGGAUAAUAUAUUGAACCGCAUGGUUCAAUAGUGAAAGACGGUUUUGCUGUCACUUAUAGAUGGUUCCGCGCCGCAUUAGCUAGUUGGUAAGGUAACGGCUUACCAAGGGAACGAUGCGUAGCCGACCUGAGAGGGUGAGCGACCACACUGGAACGGAGACACGGUCCAGACUCCUACGGGAGGCAGCAGUAGGGAAUCUUCCGCAAAGGGCGAAAGCCUGACGGAGCAACGCCGCGUGAGUGAUGAAGGUCUUCGGAGCGUAAAACUCUGUUAUUAGGGAAGAACAAUUGUGUAAGUAACGAUGCACGACUUGACGGUACCUAAUCAGAAAGCCACGGCUAACUACGUG